rnacentral:rRNA from 1 species
GACGAACGCUGGCGGCGUGCUUAACACAUGCAAGUCGAACGGAAAGGCCCUGCUUUUGUGGGGUGCUCGAGUGGCGAACGGGUGAGUAACACGUGAGUAACCUGCCCUUGACUUUGGGAUAACUUCAGGAAACUGGGGCUAAUACCGGAUAGGAGCUCCUGCUGCAUGGUGGGGGUUGGAAAGUUUCGGCGGUUGGGGAUGGACUCGCGGCUUAUCAGCUUGUUGGUGGGGUAGUGGCUUACCAAGGCUUUGACGGGUAGCCGGCCUGAGAGGGUGACCGGCCAAAUGGGGAAGGAGAUAAGGCCCAGGCCCCUAGGGGGGGGAGAGGGGGGGAAUAUUGCACAAUGGGGGGAGGCCGGAUGCAGCAACGCCGGGGGGGGGAUGGCGGCCUUCGGGUGGUAACCCGCUUUCCCCUGGGACGAAGGGUGGGUGGCGGUAAUGGGAAAAGAAGCACCGGCUAACUACGU